AGGAAAUGAAGAGCAUCAGAGGGUCAGGUGACGGUGAACUGCACGGUCAUGAUCUUGUAAAGACAGCUGAAGAAGCGUGUAGUGCUCCGUGUGAACACACACACACCAGAUCCUCCAUGAUAUCCUCCGGUGCGGUCCUUCACUGUGACCUGCUCAUUCUUCAGGACGAGUGUGUGUCCAGUCCGGGGCUCAAACAGCUGGACACUGGUCAUCCGGAUCAUCCCAGAUUCCAGCCCAAAAUACCCAUCCCAGAAGUGGACGGGACGGGACGGGAUCUCCCCAGUGAUUCCCUGUAAUCAGCACAUCCUCACUGAUGAACCCAUGCAGUCCAGCUGCUCUGUGUCUGGGAGGGUCAAAGGUCAGGUCAUCUCUGUUCAGUUCUCCACACACGGUUCGGCACGCGCUGAGACCGCUGUUCAACCUAAAUCUGACACAGCAUCUGGAAUAUUGUUUACUAUGAAUAACACGUGAAACAAACAGAGUUCAGCUAAUAUAUGUUUCUGCUGAUGGAAGCUUCUGGAUUCCCAGACAUUACCCUGGACAAAUCAAAUCGUUCUGUGGCUGUUAUUCUGUUGUUCUGCGGAGCUUCUCUCACGAAAACUAAUUCCUCGUAUGUGUGAAC